rnacentral:lncRNA from 1 species
CUCAACACUAAAUAAAGCAGCUCCCACUGGUUGUGAUGUUUGGCGGAAGCAAUAAGCUUGGUCCUGAGCUUUUGUUUUUAAAAAAGACUUUAUCUCCUGGAAUCCUUCUUGUCCAACCACCAAGGGCUAAGCGUGGUAUUAGAAGAUAAAGUGUCCCUAACUUGGAGUCAGAAAGUUCACAGACCUGAUACCUAUCAAGACAUCACCCAAAACAGGCUGAGCUAACUAAAAGAAGUAAUUACUCUACUUGAUCUAGAGAAGAGAAGACAUUGGGGUGAUUACUGUCUUCAGCAGCUGAACAGGUCCCUGGACUCUGAAUUGACUGCCAGCUUCUGGAUUGCUGCUGAUUCAGGCCUUUGGGUUGCCUAUCCUCUGCUCUGGUCUGGGCACCUUUCCCUCAAAUUUGUGACCGAACGCUGCCUAUAGCCUCAACACUGACCAGGAGAUAGUCUUGGAGUUUGUGCAAAUACAGUAAAACCUUGUUGAUCUCAAUUCUUCCCAUUUUCCCUUCUCUUCCCCCCAAAUGAGGAGUGGGCCAGACUUGGGAUGUGUAAGCACCUUGGAGAAAAUCAUGAAGAAGUUCCUGUAAUCAGCAUGAUGAAGACAGGGUGUUGUGAUGAAGACAGAGAUCACCAAAGUAUCAAAGAUAACAAUAACAUUUCUCUUUA